rnacentral:rRNA from 1 species
AUUGAACGCUGGCGGCAGGCCUAACACAUGCAAGUCGAGCGGAUGAAGGGAGCUUGCUCCUGGAUUCAGCGGCGGACGGGUGAGUAAUGCCUAGGAAUCUGCCUGGUAGUGGGGGAUAACGUCCGGAAACGGGCGCUAAUACCGCAUACGUCCUGAGGGAGAAAGUGGGGGAUCUUCGGACCUCACGCUAUCAGAUGAGCCUAGGUCGGAUUAGCUAGUUGGUGGGGUAAAGGCCUACCAAGGCGACGAUCCGUAACUGGUCUGAGAGGAUGAUCAGUCACACUGGAACUGAGACACGGUCCAGACUCCUACGGGAGGCAGCAGUGGGGAAUAUUGGACAAUGGGCGAAAGCCUGAUCCAGCCAUGCCGCGUGUGUGAAGAAGGUCUUCGGGUUGUAAAGCACUUUAAGUUGGGAGGAAGGGCAGUAAGUUAAUACCUUGCUGUUUUGACGCUACCAACAGAAUAAGCACCGGCUAACUUCGUG